rnacentral:rRNA from 1 species
GAUGAACGCUGGCGGCGUGCCUAAUACAUGCAAGUAGAACGCUGAAGGAGGAGCUUGCUCUUCUGGAUGAGUUGCGAACGGGUGAGUAACGCGUAGGUAACCUGCCUGGUAGCGGGGGAUAACUAUUGGAAACGAUAGCUAAUACCGCAUGACAACAGUUAUUGCAUGAUAACUGUUUAAAAGGGGCAACUGCUCCACUACCAGAUGGACCUGCGUUGUAUUAGCUAGUUGGUGAGGUAACGGCUCACCAAGGCGACGAUACAUAGCCGACCUGAGAGGGGGGUCGGCCACACUGGGACUGAGACACGGCCCAGACUCCUACGGGAGGCAGCAGUAGGGAAUCUUCGGCAAUGGACGGAAGUCUGACCGAGCAACGCCGCGUGAGUGAAGAAGGUUUUCGGAUCGUAAAGCUCUGUUGUAAGAGAAGAACGAGUGUGAGAGUGGAAAGUUCACACUGUGACGGUAUCUUACCAGAAAGGGACGGCUAACUACGUG